UACGGAGGGGGCUAGCGUUGUUCGGAAUUACUGGGCGUAAAGCGCACGUAGGCGGCUUUGUAAGUUAGAGGUGAAAGCCCGGGGCUCAACUCCGGAAUUGCCUUUAAGACUGCAUCGCUAGAAUUGUGGAGAGGUAAGUGGAAUUCCGAGUGUAGAGGUGAAAUUCGUAGAUAUCAAGAGGAACACCAGUGGCGAAGGCGAGUCCCUGGACAACUUCUGACGCUGAGGCACGAAAGCUAGGGGAGCAAACAGG
rnacentral:rRNA from 1 species